rnacentral:rRNA from 1 species
CCUACGGGCGGCAGCAGUGAGGAAUAUUGGUCAAUGGGCGCGAGCCUGAACCAGCCAAGCCGCGUGAAGGAUGACUGCUCUACGGGUUGUAAACUUCUUUUGUAAAGGAAUAAAGUGAGGCACGUGUGCCUUUUUGCAUGUAUUUUAUGAAUAAGGAUCGGCUAACUCCGUGCCAGCAGCCGCGGUAAUACGGAGGAUCCGAGCGUUAUCCGGAUUUAUUGGGUUUAAAGGGUGCGUAGAUGGGUUGUUAAGUCAGUUGUGAAAGUUUGCGGCUCAACCGUGGAAUUGCAAUUGAUACUGGGCGGCUGGAGUGCAGGUGAGGUAGGCGGAAUGCGUGGUGUAGCGGUGAAAUGCUUAGAUAUCACGAAGAACACCGAUUGCGAAGGCAGCCUACUAAACUGCAACUGACAUUGAGGCUCGAAAGUGUGGGGAGCAAACAGGAUUAGAUACCCUAGUAGUC